AUAUUUUUUUUUAUAUAUAAAAACAAAAAGGUAUAGCAACAUUAAAUUAUGAACAUAAAACUUAAGAACUAAUGGAAAAAGAACGGAAGGGUCGGGACUGGAAUCAUAUUAAAUACUAUCGAAUAAUAAAGAGAUUGUAAAAUCAUGACACUUUAGUUUGCAUGGAAUGCUUUAGAGAAUAUUCGACGACGUUCGAGAACGUAAUCUCCUGACAUAUCGCACGCUAGACUGUAACAAUAGAGCUCGCAUAGUAUAAAAUGGCAAAGGUGAUAUCUCUCGCCUAACGUUCCACACGAUGAUCAAUUUUCUUCCAUCGUUCUUUGUACACGAUUCUUGUUAUUAUAAUCCUCGUAAAAGAAAAAAAUCUUUUCAUUGAUUCGUAACACUUUUGACAAACCGAUUAGAAUUAAUAUGACUAAACGUAUCAAAUCAUUAUUAAUGUGAUUUAUCAUUUGUCAUAUAAAUUUUCGUUUAGAUAAUAAAUGAAAAUUACGAACGAAUGUGUACGUAUAUAUCAUAAAAUGAAAAAAAUAAGAAACGUGUACGUGUAUACGUGUAAUAUGAAAAUAGAUAAAAAUUUAUAAAGUACACACAUUAAAGUAAGACGUAACUUUAUAAGUUCGAUUGAAAUAAAAGGAUAAAAGAAAAAGUA
rnacentral:lncRNA from 1 species